rnacentral:rRNA from 1 species
ACAUGCCUACAACAUAGCGUUAAUGCACCAGAUCCCAUUAGAACUCCGUAGUUAAGCAUGCUCAGGGUAGAGUAGUACAGGGAUGAGUGACUGCCUAGGAAGUCCUAGUAUUUUACAUGCA